rnacentral:rRNA from 1 species
UACAGAGGUGGCAAGCGUUGUUCGGAAUUACUGGGCGUAAAGGGCGCGUAGCGGCCGCUAAGUCAGACGUGAAAGCCCCGGGCUCAACCUGGGAAUGGCGAUGGAUACUGGCUCGCUAGAGUGCGGUAGAGGAGAGUGGAAUUCCGUGGUGUAGCGGUGAAAUGCGCAGAGUAUCAGGAGGAACACCGAUGGCGAAGGCAGGUCUCUGGGCCACUACUGACGCUGAGAAGCGAAAGCAUGGGGAGCGAACAGG